GUUACGGGAGUACUCGAAGGAGAGGCAGCCCGGAGCGGCAUCGCAGAGCAGCGCGCACUCCCGGGCGCUGCGGACGGAGAGCUCUCCCGAC
rnacentral:SRP_RNA from 14 species